ACGAUUUAUGCAAUCAAAAUGAUUUUAGAAUUUCAUGUUGUAAAGAAUUUGAAUUGCGAAAAUACAUUUGAAUUUGGAAAACAAUCCUAAUCAGUUUUUGAUUCAAACACAUAAACUCAAUUAUAAUCCUAGCCCAAAUAACAAAGCCCAAAAUAAAUAACCCCAAAUAAACCCAUAACCCUUUCUCCUAUUCAACUUCACGUGAAACAAAAAUAAAAAGAGAAACAAAAGAAAACUCUCAAACCCUUGCUUCACCAUUCACGUGAAAACGCACAAGACUCUCUGCUUCAGCCACCGCCGCUCCUCCUUGCUGCUAUCCCUCACGCCGCCGUUCCUCUCCCCCGCCUUCACUUUCGUUGCUGCAGCCUCCCUCGCCGUCGGACCACCAUCACGCCACUGUUUCGUUCGCAGCAACCACCACCGCGCCACCAGCCGCGCCCAUAACGAUUGUUCGCCGCCGCACCACCAACAACCAUCGCGCGGACGCUGACACCCUCCGCCGUACUCCUCCGACCAGCGUCGCCGCCCACUGUUGCCGCGCCGCCCUGCCUGCCGGCCAGCAGCUUCCCUCUCCUCUCUUUUUUG